GACGUAGGGCGCGAGCGUUGUCCGGAUUUAUUGGGCGUAAAGAGCUCGUAGGCGGCUCAUUGCGUCAACCGUGAAAACCAGCAGCUCAACUGUUGGCUUGCGGUUGAUACGGGUGGGCUGGAGUUCGGUAGGGGAGACUGGAAUUCCUGGUGUAGCGGUGAAAUGCGCAGAUAUCAGGAGGAACACCGGUGGCGAAGGCGGGUCUCUGGGCCGAUAUUGACGCUGAGGAGCGAAAGCGUGGGGAGCGAACAGG
rnacentral:rRNA from 1 species